rnacentral:tmRNA from 1 species
UUGAGCGCAUAUUAGUUGUGCUGGUUUUCCAGCUAUGGUGAUAAACGCUCUUCGGAAUAAGCGUUGUGGACCCGGGGGCGGUACCCGGCACCUCCACCAAGUUCUCCCAUGCAGGGUUUUUGCGUUGCAGGGGUAAGCUGAUGGGGGUGAAACAGGAUCGACACGCGUGGUAAAGGAUUAGUUUUUACUCGGCAUGGUUCCGCCGUUACCGGGCCAUUUUCACAAGUGCCAAUGAUAACGAAGCACUUGCAGUCGCGGCCUAAUACGCCAUAACGACUACGGGGUUCGAGGGGCACCUGGCAACAGAAGCCCCUCA